UCCUUGUAUGGCCACACCUGAGUGUGCAUGCUUGAUCUGAUCUUGAAAGCUAAGUAGGGUUGUGCCUGGUCAGAACUUGGAUGGGAUACCACCUUGAAAGACCAGUGGGUUGCAUCAGGAA
rnacentral:rRNA from 12 species